GACGUAGGGUGCAAGCGUUGUCCGGAUUUAUUGGGCGUAAAGAGUUCGUAGGCGGUUUCUCAAGUCUGAUGUUAAAUACGGGAGCUCAACUCCCGCAUGGCAUUGGAAACUGGGUAACUAGAGUGUGGUAGAGGUUACGGGAAUUCCUGGUGUAGCGGUGAAAUGCGCAGAUAUCAGGAGGAACACCAAUGGCGAAGGCAGCACUCUGGGACGGUACUGACGCUGAGACGCGAAAGCGUGGGGAGCAAACAGG
rnacentral:rRNA from 1 species